rnacentral:rRNA from 1 species
AACGAACGCUGGCGGCAUGCCUAACACAUGCAAGUCGAACGAGACCUUCGGGUCUAGUGGCGCACGGGUGCGUAACGCGUGGGAACCUGCCUUUAGGUUCGGAAUAACUCAGAGAAAUUUGAGCUAAUACCGGAUAAUGUCUUCGGACCAAAGAUUUAUCGCCUUUAGAUGGGCCCGCGUAGGAUUAGCUAGUUGGUGGGGUAAAGGCCUACCAAGGCGACGAUCCUUAGCUGGUCUGAGAGGAUGAUCAGCCACACUGGGACUGAGACACGGCCCAGACUCCUACGGGAGGCAGCAGUGGGGAAUAUUGGACAAUGGGCGAAAGCCCGAUCCAGCAAUGCCGCGUGAGUGAUGAAGGCCUUAGGGUUGUAAAGCUCUUUUACCAGGGAUGAUAAUGACAGUACCUGGAGAAUAAGCUCCGGCUAACUCCGUGCCAGCAGCCGCGGUAAUACGGAGGGAGCUAGCGUUGUUCGGAAUUACUGGGCGUAAAGCGCACGUAGGCGGCUUUCUAAGUCAGGGUGAAAUCCGGGGCUCAACCCGGAACUGCCCUUGAACUGGAAAGCUAGAAUCUUGGAGAGGCGAGUGGAAUUCCGAGUGUAGAGGUGAAAUUCGUAGAUAUUCGGAGGAAGCACCAGUGGCGAAGGCGACUCGCUGGACAAGUAUUGACGCUGAGGUGCGAAGCGUGGGAGCAAACAGGAUUAGAUACCCUGGUAG